CCUACGGGUGGCUGCAGUGAGGAAUAUUGGUCCAUGGGCGUAAGCCUGAACCAGCCAAGUCGCGUGAGGGAUGAAGGUUCUAUGGAUCGUAAACCUCUUUUAUAAGGGAAUCAAGUGUGGGACGUUUCCUAUUUUGUAUGUACCUUAUGAAUAAGGAUCGGCUAACUCCGUGCCAGCAGACGCGGUAAUACGGAGGAUCCGAGCGUUAUCCGGCUUUAUUGGGGUUAAAGGGUGCGUAGGCGGCCUUUUAAGUCAGCGGUGAAAGUCUUGGGCUCAAACAUAGAAUUGCCGUUGAAACUGGGGGGCUUGAGUAUGUUUGAGGCAGGCGGAAUGCGUGGUGUAGCGGUGAAAUGCUUAGAUAUCACGCAGAACCCCGAUUGCGAAGGCAGCCUGCCAAGCCAUGACUGACGCUGAUGCACGAAAGCGUGGGGAUCAAACAGGAUUAGAUACCCGAGUAGUC
rnacentral:rRNA from 1 species